GUGCUUGCUUUGGCAGCACACAUGCAAAAAUUAGAAUAAUACAGAGUAGAGGAGGAUGGCCCUUGUGCAAGAUAACACGCAAGCUCUUGAAGCGUUCCAUAUUUUA
ensembl:snRNA U6 U6 spliceosomal RNA